GCAAGAUCUGAGGUCUGAUGCCACUGUCCUCAAAAGGAAAAGCAUGUGAUGCAUGACAGGGUAGCUUCAGACCUCACCUGGACCCAUGGGCCAGUUUCUAGAGGGCAAUUCUGGAGACAGACCCAUGCCAGGUGUUCUGUUGGACCCAGGAGUUCCCACCUUUAUUUUCAAAGCCAUUCCAUGAACAGGGCUGUACUAAAUCUGCCCCCUUUUCCAGUCACACCCCCUACCUUCACCUUACCCCUUCUCCUGCCAGCUCACAUGCUGAGAACUUGGAAGGUCUGCACUGUGCACUGUAAUCCCCCUGCCAUCUUCCCUACUAGUCUUUUUCCUUCCCAGCCUUGAGCAUGCCACAUAUGAGGGCACAUUUCUCUUACAUUUAAGGCACAUUUGGUGAUUUUCCAGUAAGUUUAUGUAUCAGAUGGGACAGUUUGUACUCAGGAGUGUCAGGGAUGAUCCCCUCCCAAUAGAUUUUGGUUGGAGUCUGAGACCAAGUGCUGUAUUUCUAGUUCAGAGCCUGCUGCAUAGGAUGGAAGCAAUAAAAAUUCUUGGUUUUUGGUUUGGACCAACUUCCUCAAGCUCUGCUCAGAAAAGUAAGAAGCAGAAGAGACUCAGAGGCAACCGAGAGCUGCUGAGGGGGGAGGACAAAGAAGCAUGGUGCCACAGCAACCGCUGGCUGGGCUCCACCGGCUGGGAACGGGAAGAUGCGCGUUCACUAACAUUGGGUAAACUUCCACAUUCCACCACUUCCUGUGCAGAUACCAGCAGUGAUCAGGUCAUGUGCUUGCCGGGCAGCACAAAGAGCUCUUGGAGGCUGCUCCUGCAAUUAAAAUGGGAUGCCUUACAAAAAAAUCACAUGAAAUCCUUAGCAUCCUGUUGAGAAGGCUGGGAGGAGGAGGGAGGCCCCAAAGACGGAGCUCCAGCUGCCACCAGCUCAGGCUGUAAUUUGUCCAGUAGCAGAGAGGGCUGGGGCUGGAGGGAGGCUCAGAAGACUUCCCAGGGCAACUUCAGACAAAGGAAUGAGAAGAGAAUGCUAAUAAGGAUGUGUAUCUUCUAACUUAUAUUUUCUUGGAUGCUGGAAAACUGUCUCGAAAUCAUGGGAUAACAGAACAGGAAGAUACUCUUGAGUCUAAUCCAAUGUGUUCCCUUAAUGGACAGGAAAACUGAGGCCCAGAGACAUAAACUGAAAUGACUGGUGCUCCCACUGCUCAAGGAAGAGGAUUUAAGGUGAUUUUUGAGGGCUCCUCUAACCCACCAUUCAGAGAUUCUUGGGAUUCUUGGCUUCUCUCCAAGGUUCUUUUUUUUCCCAAACUGCAAUCAUGGUGUGAAAUCCACCAAACAUCAAUUGCUGGAUGCUUUUAGAUAUAAAACUUUACUCAGAUAUCAAUUGAAUCAAAAUCUUUGGGGAUGGGGUUUCAAAAUAUAAUUUUUAGAAUUCCCAGUUGAUUUCAAUAUGCAACCAGAAUUGUUCACAUGGUUCUAAAACUGAUAAGUUUGUUCUGAAUCAUGACUCCCCUCUCUUGUGUACAAUCAAUGCAACUCCAUUCUCUGGUCUUCCCUACAUACUGGUUUAUCUCUUGCUCAUUCAUUUAGGAUAACACAGGUGACCAUCAGCUUUCC
rnacentral:lncRNA from 1 species